rnacentral:rRNA from 1 species
UGAGCAAUCUGCCCUUCUCAUCGGAAUAAGCGUUGGAAACGACGUCUAAUGCCGAAUACGACCUCCUUUUCGCAUGAUCGGAGGUGGAAAGCUCCGGCGGAGAAGGAUGAGCUCGCGGCCUAUCAGCUAGUUGGUGUGGGUAAUGGCCCACAAGGCGACGACGGGUAGCCGGCCUGAGAGGGUGUCCAGCCACACUGGGACUGAGAUACGGCCCAGACCUCCGUAGGGAGG